UACGUAGGCAGCGAGCGUUGUUCGGAGUUACUGGGCGUAAAGGGUGUGUAGGCGGUUGUUUAAGUUUGGUGUGAAAUCUCCCGGCUCAACUGGGAGGGUGCGCCGAAUACUGAAUGACUUGGAGUGCGGGAGAGGAGAGUGGAAUUCCUGGUGUAGCGGUGAAAUGCGUAGAUAUCGAGAGGAACACCUGCGGCGAAGGCGGGUUGCUGGGCCGACACUGACGCUGAAGUGCGAAAGCUAGGGGAGCGAACGGG
rnacentral:rRNA from 1 species